GAUGAACGCUGGCGGCGUGCCUAAUACAUGCAAGUCGAGCGAACAGACGAGGAGCUUGCUCCUCUGACGUUAGCGGCGGACGGGUGAGUAACACGUGGAUAACCUACCUAUAAGACUGGGAUAACUUCGGGAAACCGGAGCUAAUACCGGAUAAUAUAUUGAACCGCAUGGUUCAAUAGUGAAAGACGGUUUUGCUGUCACUUAUAGAUGGAUCCGCGCCGCAUUAGCUAGUUGGUAAGGUAACGGCUUACCAAGGCAACGAUGCGUAGCCGACCUGAGAGGGAGAUCGGCCACACGGGAACUGAGACAGGUUCCAGACUCCGACGGGAGGAAGCAGUAGGGAAUCUUCCGCAAGGGGGGAAAGCCGGACGGAGCAACGCCGCGUGAGGGAUGAAGGUGUUCGGAUCGGAGAACUCUGUUAUUAGUAGAGAAGAAAUGUGUAAUUAACUAUGCAGAUCUUGACGGUAGCUAGAGAGAAAGCCACGGCUAACUACGUG
rnacentral:rRNA from 1 species